UAAUGCUCUGUCAGACGAGAUCGGGAUUAUAACUGAUGCCCAGGGUGGUUUUCGUAAGGGGUAUUCUGUCCAAGAUAGUAUGUUUAUCAUGCAUGCUUUAAUUUCACUAUAUUUGAGUUCGGGAAAGAAAUUAUUUUGCGCUUUUGUAGAUUUUAAAAAAGCUUUUGAUACAGUGUGGAGGGUGGGACUAUGGCAAAAAUUAUUAAAAUAUAACAUUGGUGGGAAAAUGUUUAAAGUUAUAUUGAGCAUGUAUACGGAUAUUAAGUCUUGUGUUAAAAAUGGAGAACUAAAAACAGAUUUUUUGUGAGGUAGGUGUAAGACAGGGAGAAAAAAUGUCACCUUUUCUCUUUGCCUUAUACCUGAAUGACUUGGAAGAAUAUCUGGAUGAAAACUCUGUGGAAGGUCUAACAUUUAUGAACGAAAAAUUUACAGAGAAUCUUGAUUUGUAUAUCAAGUUAUUUAUUCUUCUGUACGCCGACGACACUAUUAUUUUUGCGGAGUCGGCAGAAGGGUUGCAAAAGGCUCUGAAUGUUUUUGAGCAAUAUUGUUUUGAGUGGAAACUCACUGUGAAUGUAUCAAAAACUAAGAUUGUAAUUUUUUCAAAGAGAAAGUUUAAUAAGAAUGUUACUUUUAAACUAUGUAAUGAAAUUAUUGAAAUUAAAGAUUCAUAUGUUUAUCUUGGUCUGCUGUUUAAUUACAACGGAAAUUUCUUUCAAGCUCGAAAAAAACUGGUAGACCAAGCUCAAAAAGCACUUUAUGCUCUUUACAAGAAGAUACAAAAUAUCUCACUCCCGAUUGAUUUACAGUUAAAAUUAUUUGAUGCAUUGGUGGUUCCUAUUUUGACCUAUUCCUCGGAAA
rnacentral:lncRNA from 1 species